CAAGGUUUGACAUGCAGGGAAAAGCCGUAGAGAUAUGGUGUCCGUAAGGGUCCUGCACAGGUGGUGCAUGGCUGUCGUCAGCUCGUGUCGUGAGAUGUUGGGUUAAGUCCCGCAACGAGCGCAACCCUCGUCCUAUGUUGCCAGCGGAUAAUGCCGGGGACUCAUAGGAGACUGCCGGGGUCAACUCGGAGGAAGGUGGGGAUGACGUCAAGUCCUCAUGGCCCUUAUAGGUGGGGCUACACACGUCAUACAGUGGCUGGUACAGAGGGUUGCCAACCCGCGAGGGGGAGCUAAUCCCAUAAAGCCAGUCGUAGUCCGGAUCGCAGUCUGCAACUCGACUGCGUGAAGUCGGAAUCGCUAGUAAUCGCGGAUCAGAAUGUCGCGGUGAAUACGUUCCC
rnacentral:rRNA from 1 species